rnacentral:rRNA from 1 species
UACAGAGGUCUCAAGCGUUGUUCGGAUUCAUUGGGCGUAAAGGGUGUGUAGGUGGCGCCGUAAGUCGGGUGUGAAAUUUCGGAGCUUAACUCCGAAACUGCAUUCGAUACUGCGGUGCUUGAGGACUGGAGAGGAGACUGGAAUUCAUGGUGUAGCAGUGAAAUGCGUAGAGAUCAUGAGGAAGACCAGUGGCGAAAGGCGGGUCUCUGGAC